ACCGAGCACCGGGAAGGCGAGGCGCCGCCGGUACACCACAUCCCCCCUGGCCUCCCGCAGGCACCGGGCUCUGUAGUGCUUUCCGAGCGCCCCUUCCUAGGAAUCCCUUCCCAGGACAGCUCUGUUUUACUGGCCUUCCUUGUAAUAUCGUUGCUUGAUACUAGAGUGGAAAAGAAGUCCCAGCUGCCAGUACAGCUGAAUGUGACUUCUCUGUGGCUCAAGCAAGACUCUAGAACUGCAAGUUUCCACUUUAUUGUUCUUAUAGAUGCAGAAGUUUCAGAAAUCUCACUCCCAGUACUCAUGUGGCCUUCCCUCUACAUUAUAAACAUAAGGAAGAGAGCAAUCUGUGUGUCCUGCUCUACGUGACAUUCUCAAUAGCAUUAGAAAGAAGAUAAACAAAUCCUGCCUCUGAGGUUGUGUGUGGGGAACCUUGGCCCUGUGCAAAGUCUUCCCUUGUUGCAGUAAAAUUUUUCAUUGA